rnacentral:rRNA from 1 species
GACGAACGCUGGCGGCGUGCUUAACACAUGCAAGUCGAGCGGAGCGGCGAACGGGUGAGUAACGCGUGAGUAACUGCCCCCCUCUCUGGGAUAACAGUUGGAAACGGCUGCUAAUACCGGAUAGUGGGGGAUGACUCGCGUCCUAUCAGCUUGUUGGUGGGGUAGUGGCCUACCAAGGCGACGACGGGUAGCCGGCCUGAGAGGGCGACCGGCCACAUUGGGCUGAGAUACGGCCCAAACUCCUACGGGAGGCAGCAGUGGGGAAUAUUGCACAAUGGGGGAAACCCUGAUGCAGCAACGCCGCGUGCGGGAUGACGGCCUUCGGGUUGUAAACCGCUUUCAGCCAUGACGCGGUAGUGGCAGAAGAAGCACCGGCUAACUACGUGCCAGCAGCCGCGGUAAUAC